ensembl:lincRNA
CGUGAGUGGGCUGGGGUGUGCGCUGCAGCUGGGAGAAUCCACUUAGCAUCCUGUGGGCUGCGAAUGGGAUGAGCUCAGCUCUACAAGGGUGGAGACUUUACAGCUAUGAACCAAGGUCAUUUUUUUUUAAGGAAAAUUCCAUAUUUGUGAAUUGGCUUUUUGCUAAACUCCAUACGUAUAGAAAGAUAUCAGUAUCUGUUGCAAAUGGCAGAUACAAUUUUAUGCACCUAAUAAUUUCUAUAGAUACUGAGAUGAACUAUGCAAAUCUAGAUUUAAGUGUAUAAUUAAACUGUGGCACUUGGUUUCUCCUCUUGCAGUUAUAACUCUCAAAAUUGCAACAUAAUUGGUCAUUGAAGAUUUUGCCUUUUCAGGAUAAAAGCCAAAGUGAUUGCUCCAAAUGGACAUCCAUGCCAGUCAUCUGUGUAAGGAUCGCUGAGUGUCUCACAAAAGCACAUGGGUAUGAAGGUGGGGUUGACAUUGAUGAUUAAACCAAGCAGUACAGAAGCAUCGGUCGGUGCUGGUCACUUAUCCCCGUCCUUCCCAUCGUUCGAGAUCCCCUUCCAGCGAAUGGCAUCUUCUGGUGUGUGCAGGACCCGAUGGAGGAGUGAUGAUACCUCAGAGCCAUGUCCAGGCUCUUCCAGUCAGUUGGUGGCCUCCACAAACGCCAGCCAGCCCGCCCAAUGCAAGCUCCUGCUUGGCCAAUGUGUAGCAGUUACGAUGCAGCAAUUGGAAGAGGCUGUGGGGAUCAGUAAUUCCAGUGGGGGAGCGAUGGACACCCCUAAGAACCCAUUCCACGACUUUAGUCCCAAAUUGGAUUUUGCUUGGAGAAAUUCUCUGCCCUGUAGUAGUGGUUUUUAAGAUCACAGAUAUUGGAGUAAGAAAGACAAGGCUCUUCCAUUUGCUGGUCUAUUGACUCACAGGGGAAUACCAGAGAACUUGGCAUCCAGAAAACAGUCAAUAAAUGAAGACAGUGCAACUAAGACCUGGGCGCCAUGUUCCUUCCCUAAGGCUCAUUUCACUAGGAUGCUGUGUCAGCACACACACACACACACACACACACUCACACACUCCAGGAAGCCUCUAAAAGAAAUGCAAGUGUUCUCCAGUAGAAAGAGCAUCGCUGAAAUUUACUCAACAGCACGGUCUUUGUGUCUUUCCCGCCCAGGCCCACACUCUCAGCUGCCCCCUCCCCUCUCGCUCCUUUCCUCCUGUGUUCUCCAGCAAGGGUGAGGACCCACUGUCAUUCAGAAAACCUCCUCCUAGUUUUUCUAUGCACGGAGUCAUUCACACAUCCAGCAAGGAAAACGGGCUUGUGCAGACUCUCCUUGGGAGGUAAUGGGAGAGGGAUUCUAAAUGCUUGUCACAUUUUUACCUGACACUGUUACUACCAUGUAACUACUGAUAACUAAUGCCAACUUCUGAAUCAUAUGUCCUAUCAUCUUAUGAGAGAGAACUCUGUGGUGUAUAAACACCAAAUCACAAAUCUCCACUUUACAUUCUUGUUUGUCUACUUGUUUGUCUGUUUUCCACUGCAGUGCAGGAGCCCGUGGAGGAGACCCGGUUUCCAGCGCUGAGGGGCUCAAGAAUCUCAGGUCACCUGUGAGAUGAGCUGUGAGCACUUGCCCACACUCCUGAGCAUGAACAUAAAGCCCCAUCACAUGCAGUGGCAGAUGGUUAAGACAACAACCAACCAUCUCGUCAGAUAAAAGGUUCGCUCCACUUAAAGUGGAUGAUUUUUAAAUUUGUUUGUAAAACCUUUGAUAUUUGACUACUAAGAAAUUAUAAGAUCCCUACGGACAGGCAACUAAUUUUCUACAUUUCCUGGUUCUUUAAAAAUAAAUAAUUAUCAUAGGUCCUUAUUAAAGCUCUCAGAAUUGUACUUUUGAUUUCUAAUAAAUGCCAAAAUAUAUCUUAUCAAAUAUUUACAGUGGAGUCAGGCAUAAAGUCUAUAACCUCAAGAACAUGAACCGUCAAUUUAUACUACCGUGGACUCAAUUUGGCAAGUUAAGGGGUGAGGAAUGGGAUUUCAGGAAAAGCCAAAGGGUCUAAUUGUUUAUGAUACAUAUUUUAAGUAUCUGUCAUAAAAUGUGACCAAGCCUGUCGUAUUCUUUGAAUAGCUGAUUUCCCUGUUUCAUCCCCUCUUUGAGUUAUUUUCAUACAUUUUCACCGAUAACUGCAAUACUUUUUCUUAACCUGAGAUUUCUGAAGUUAAUGUGAUGGAACUGCUGUGUGACGCUGGAAUUCGGACUGAGGGCGUUGAAGAAGAACAGGGCUUCCUCCCAGCCAAGGACUCUUUAAUGCGGAGGCUGGAGCAGCCCAGAAAUCUUGCAGCAAAUCUACAAGAUGGGCUGUGACCGGGUCAAACGGAAAUCUCUUUCAGUACUUUGUUCAUGCCAUGCAAUACUCUUAUUCUCAUCAUUUUGAUAAGGAAUAGUUUUUUUUCCCCUUUUCCUCUUCCCUAGAGAUAUAGAUUUUUAAGCUGAUUUUGUGCCUCAGGCUCAUUUAAGUUUUAAAAAAUAUUUUCCAAGAUAGAUAAAACAUUUUUUUUCCUCUUGGAAUAAUGAGUAUUUAUUGACAUUCAUUUAGUGUUGUUUCAGCAGACUGCUUCCCACUUGACCCCUGCCAGCCCCCAGGAGUGCGUUUUGGAUUAGAGGAAAAUGUGGAAAAUUGUGAAGUGCUUUUAAUCUAGAAAAACACAUUGGGAUGGUGUUGAACACGUUUAUUAAAAAUUACAUGUGUUUGCAUUGGCAGGAAGCAUUCUAGAAAAUGUCAAGAAUUUCCAGGCACUUUGUGGAUUUUCCAGAUGAUAAAUGAUAAUUUUGCUGCUUUCAUUAGCUGCUGAAUUUUCUUAACUCACCCAGCAUUGAUACAGACAGAGCAGGGCAUGGCAGAUCCCGCAGUUCCGUUUCAUCAUACUUGCUCACUACACGAUGUUGCUAUGCAUCCAUGGACUGACAGGUUGUCUGGGGGAUCUUGUAGGUACCAUUUCUCCUCCUUCCAGUAAAAGCAAUCCUAAAGGUUUUCAAAAUAAUCAAUUGAGAAAGUACUACCGUU